AGCGAACGCUGGCGGCAGGCCUAACACAUGCAAGUCGAACGAACCCUUCGGGGUUAGUGGCGGACGGGUGAGUAACACGUGGGAACGUGCCUUUAGGUUCGGAAUAACUCAGGGAAACUUGUGCUUAUACCGAAUGUGCCCUUCGGGGGAAAGAUUUAUCGCCUUUAGAGCGGCCCGCGUCUGAUUAGCUAGUUGGUGAGGUAAUGGCUCACCAAGGCUACGAUCAGUAGCUGGUCUGAGAGGAUGACCAGCCACAUUGGGACUGAGACACGGCCCAAACUCCUACGGGAGGCAGCAGUGGGGAAUCUUGCGAAAUGGGCGAAAGCCUGACGCAGCCAUGCCGCGUGGAUGAUGAAGGUCUUAGGAUUGUAAAAUCCUUUCACCGGUGAAGAUAAUGACUGUAGCCGGAGAAGAAGCCCCGGCUAACUUCGUGCCAGCAGCCGCGGUAAGAC
rnacentral:rRNA from 1 species